UACGUAGGGUGCGAGCGUGUCCGGAAUUAUUGGGCGUAAAGAGCUCGUAGGCGGUUUGUUGCGUCGGCCGUGAAAACCUGCAGCUUAACUGUGGGCCUGCGGCCGAUACGGGCAGACUUGAGUUCGGUAGGGGAGACUGGAAUUCCUGGUGUAGCGGUGAAAUGCGCAGAUAUCAGGAGGAACACCGAUGGCGAAGGCAGGUCUCUGGGCCACUACUGACGCUGAGAAGCGAAAGCGUGGGGAGCGAACAGG
rnacentral:rRNA from 1 species